ACAUUUUAUUUUAUGUUUUAGGGGGCGACUGAGAAAACAAACUUAAAGUCGGAAAGAAUGGCUAUCAGGGACGGCGGCAGUGGGAAUGGAAUGAAUGAAGAGGUGGGAUCCAGUGGAGAAUGUGAUGAUGAGGACGGAUGUCAAGGAUCUGGUGAGAGAAGCCUCACGAAAGAUGUUCUUGGAGCUGGUCCAGAAGACAGGAAUGAACCGAAGCCAACUGUGAGAAAGGUGGACACCACAACCACAGCUUCUGUAAAAUCAUCUCCUAAACAUAAAGUGGACAGCAAUAUGGGAAACAGAGCUUCAAGUUCCUUGCUCUUUAUUAUUAUAGCCCUUGCAGUUUUGUGGCACUCUUUGUUGUAGCUGCAUUAUGCGGCGGUAACUGGGCAGUUUCUGCUCACUGUCAUUUAUACCUACAGCCUUAUCCAAGUAAAAACCAAGUUUAAUGGCUCUCUCAAUGGUGCACUCUAGCAUUAUGUGGUAUGUUAGUGUAAGUACUAAACAUUAGUCUGGGACUUGUUAACAGCAAGCGUCUCCGUAGCUGUCGCUAUCUGGAGAUGGCUCUUGAUAACAUCUCAUCUACUCAAGAUGUAAAAAAAAUAAAAAUAAAAGGAUGAAGACAGGAAACCUGAGUAGAUUAAGUUAUUGUGGCAGACACAAUUAAGAAUGUUAAAGUUGUAAAUUAAUAUGUUGGCACCCCCUCCUUUUUUUCUUUACUCAUUGAGUAAUGGACAGGCUGCCUAUUUGUUUGAUCUUUCUUGUGAGUUCCACUGCAUAACUGGUUUUCAGGUACAGGUCAUAACACAGUAUAUCUUUUGGGAUCAGCCACUAUAUAUUAUAAGCAAAAUACAGUGCUAUCUACCAGUUGGAUGAAAUUCUGAGGUGGUCAGGAAAAUCAUAGCAUGUUCAAAUCUCUUAUUUUCUUUCGUAAUGUUUAGGAUGUAGAAAGCAAUAUAAGAACCAUAUGUUGUGUUUAAUGUAUCAGUAUAGCUGCCUUAUCUGUUAGCAACACGUAGAAACACUUCUCAAGUUAUUUUGAAACAUAUAGAAGUGUUUCACUGCCCAUGCACUUCAUUACCAUAUGCUUAAGACUUGACUGUGUUGUGAAUAUCUGACAAACGUGAAAAGGAGAGGAGCAGCACUCGAUUGCUGAGACGUAAACAGUCACUUAUUUAAAUUCCUCUACAGUUCCUGUAUGGUGUAGCCAUAGAGAUAACAAAAGCCCUAGUCCACAGAUCCUCACAUGGUGCUACAUAGCUAUCAGAAGAGAGGUGGGAAACCUGUGGCCCUACAGAUGCUAUGGCUCUACAGCUCUCAUCAGCCCCAACCAUCAUGGCCGAAGGUCAGGAAUGAUGGGAGCUGUAGCCCAGCAACAUCUAGUGUGUGACGGGUUCCCCUCCCCUUUGUUAGAGGGAGCAGGAAGGGAAUCAAUCCCUAAAUGCCCAUCGCAAACAGAUGGUCAGCAUUGCUAAAGAUGGCAGAGCCAACCACUGCCAGUUUUGUUGGUUUGUGCAUGAGCUCAGUCCCUCUUCUCUGGGUAACCACAUCGUCUUACUCGUGUGGGGCAUGAUCCAGCAGAGGACUGGUGCAUGAGUCGCUCUUGCCGAACUGGAGCAAAUGUUUCCAUCUAGCUACCAAAAGUUAUUGCCUUUUAUCUCAAAAGAGAUAUUGAUGCUCUACAGAGCUAUGAAGAACAGUGUGUCCCAUAGUUUUCCGUUUAAUUACAAUUAAUGUUUUAUUGUGCUAUGAUAGAAAAUAAUAAAUAUGAAAGAAACAUCAACCUAGAAUAAUAAAUACAUUAUUUUCUGCUUGUUCUCUAAUACAUGUUUUCUUUUUUCUUUUUGUUAUUGUAAUGAGGGCUUUUCAGUUACAAAAUGAAACUGAUGUGUUUGACAGCUUGACAAGAUGUUACAAUACCACCAUUAGAUGGGAGAGGGCAAAUACAUGUAUUUUUGACAACUCUUUUUACAGUGCCAUUGAAAAUCUAUACAAUACAAUCUGAGUCGAAUUAACAAUUGUAACAGUCAUUUUUGCCUCUGAUUUAUAUUUACUAAAGAAAGCCAGUCGUUCGCAUAACUGAAUAGUAGUUUUCAUAACACAGAAUAUUACAAUGUACAGUUUUAUAAGAUAUAAUGUAAAAUAUUGCCUUUGAUUUGUGUGUGAUAUAUGUGUGUAAAAACAUUUACUUCAGCAGUUUGAUUUGCUUAUGGUCAGUCUAGUGCACCAAUUCUUGAAAACAUAUGUGUUUAGGGUCAAAGGGUAAGACAUAGCUAGAUAACUGUUCCUUGCAGGCCCUGCAGGCUUGAUAUCCUCACAGAAUUGUUUUCCUUCGGGGGCUUCCCCAUUCACUUCAGUGGCACAUUCUUUGCACAUAUUUCUCAUGUGCAUAACAGUCCAUAUAUGCAGAGGAUACAAAGGCCUUUGCAUCAUGGAAUGGUGCUUUUAAAUGCAUAUUGAUCCCUUAUCUUCAUGUAAGGCCAUGUCCCAACCAAAGCAAGCACUCUUUGUCCCAUUCAUGUCAAUGGAAGAGUUAAGCAUGUACUUAAUAAAAAAGUAGUAUAAUAAUAUUAUUAUUUAUAUGCCGCCCAUCUGACUGGAUUGCUUCAGCCACUCCGGGCAACUUAAGUCUCUUUCAUUAAUAAUAUUCAGCACAUGGACGGGCUGAGAACAAGAGUUGUUGUUAUAGUUUCCUAGUUCAUACUACGGAAUUCUAAUCAGUAAUUCACACAACAACAAAAUAUUAUAUGAGACACACCUGUGCUCACAAUUAAGCUUUUGCAUUUAAGUACCACGUGCGAGAAAAGGAACCAUGUAAGAGCAAAUAUCAACACUCUCCUCUAUGAGACUUGUAUCAGAUUUUGGACAGAAAUACUUCAUUUCCAGACUUUAAAAAGAAUAAACUGUAUUUGAAUUA